rnacentral:lncRNA from 1 species
UAAAUAAAAUAAUAAUAGAUUUUUCAGUAUAAUUGCUGUUGUGAUAUGUUAACUAACUGUAUAAUUUUUGUAUUUCAUUGAUUGCUAGAACUUCAAGAAUUUUAAAUAUGAAGAGUUUGAAAUUUUCUGAAAUUUGAAAAUGAAAUUUCAUAUUCUUAAGUAAAAAUGUUAAUAACUACAUUACUCAACUUGAGGAGCUGCUAUAUUGGCAUGUUGGAGCAGAAUGUCAACUAUCUGCUCAUAUGGUUAAGCACUGCAAAUAUGCAUAGUUUUGGAUUAUGUAUACUUUUGAGUAUAUGGUAUCUUAAGAUAAUAUCCAUAAGAACCUUUUCAUGUCUCAGAAAAUUGUCAUCAAUCAACAUUCCUACCAAAAGGGGUAACUUUGAAUUUCAGCAGAUGGGAAUUUGUGAUGCCAUUUUUAAUUGUGACACAGCAGAAUAGUUGCUAAAGAAUGCAGCUUCUUAGUUUUAAUAUAUAGUUAUACAAACAAUUGUUUCAGAUGAUAAGAAAUAGGAUUUUAUUUUCAAAGAUUAUUGUGUGAAUCCUGACGAACGAUGUGAACAGGCAUUAGCCUACCGUGGUUGUGUGGUUAUUGCAUAGGUAUAACCACCAUAGUUAUUCAAUUCCUACUAUUAGUUCACACUCUCCCUAUAUAUAUUUAUAUGUCUUGUUCAAAUUUUCAAUCGUUA